UAAAGGUAAAAAAUAGUAUCUUUCAGCAGAACUGUCCAGUUUAUGAGUGGGUUAUUUUAAAAGCAAACCUACACUGUCUUCAUUACAAUUGUUGGUUUGCGUUCCAGACUGACGGAAGCAAUUAAUACAUUUCACAUUUGUCGGGUGGUUGUUCUACACUUUCCAGAGCACUUUUGUGAUGAGAGUGUGGUUCUCAGGCCAGCAGCAGGACCUGGAAACGUACUAGAACUGCAGAUCUUCAAUUCCCAAGCCAUGCUGCUGAGUCAGAGAUUUUGGGGGGCGGGGUGAGGGGGGCGGUGUCCAGCAAUUUACACUUUUACAAGCCUUUCAGGUAAUUCUGAUACAGACCCAAGUUUGCAAACCAUGACUUUAUGCUAUUCUGUUUACUUCUGUAAUGCUUGAAAUAAUUAUAACAAAAACUUUUUUAAAAGGCUCUAAUCCUCUGAAUAUGAAGCUGUUCCAAUGAAAAUUAGUGGUGAAGGUUGGUGUUGAAGGCUUGGGGAUGAGGUGCUUAUAUUUAAAUGUCACUGGAAGCCCUAGUCGAGGUAGAUGUGCAAAUCAAAAUCUCAAGGGCUUCCCUGGAAUUGUCAGUGGAGGACCCUGCUCCCCAUCUUUUCAUUCCUGUAUCCUGAGAGCACUCUUCUGUGAAGAGCGGGACGCUACUGAACACCUCUGAAGAGCCCAUACAUUUUGGAUUCUUCCUCUAUCACUCUCUUCUGAGAGCUCCUGGUGCAUCUUCUGUGACCAACAGCACGCAGGCAUUUUUCAGAGGACAUAGAUGGCUGAUUUUAGGGGUACAUGUGACCACAGUGUUAGCUGGCCCCAAUAAAGAUCCUCUCAAAGCCAAGGUGAAA